AUGGUUCUCGUCCGCUACGGCGUCACUUACCUCAUCGAGCACCCCCCUCCCCCCAACGCCGACGCCCAGUACCUCGAACUCAACACUCAUGUCGUUCUCUGGAUGUAUUCCACCCUCGCGGACACUCUCGUUGAUCAUGUGAUCGGCGCCACCAACACCCACGCGCUCUGGACACGGAUCCACGACUACUUCCUCUCCAAUCGUGCCCCCCAGUACAUGAUGCUGAACAAGCAGUAUCGCAACCUCAAACAGGGGGAUCUCUCGGUGGACGAGUACGCGCGCCGCAUGAAGCAGCUCACCGCCGGCCUCGCCGACAUCAAUCACAUGGUCACCGAGGUCGACCUCACCACCCAGUUUCUCCACGGCCUCGACCAACGCCUCGACAACAUCCGCGUCGUCUUGGGUGACACCGUCCCUCUGCCGCCGUUCGAGACGGUCUUCUCGCGG
rnacentral:rRNA from 1 species